AAUGAACGCUAGCGGGAUGCCUUACACAUGCAAGUCGAACGGAGUGGCGAACGGGUGAGUAAUGUAUCGGAACGUGCCCAGUAGCGGGGGAUAACUACGAGAAAGCGUAGCUAAUACCACAUACGAUUGGAGCGGCCGUUAUGGGAUUAGCUAGUUGGUGGGGUAACGGCUCACCAAGGCGACGAUCCGUAGCCGGUUUGAGAGGACGACCGGCCACACUGGGACUGAGACACGGCCCAGACUCCUACGGGAGGCAGCAGUGGGGAAUCUUGGGCAAUGGGGGAAACCCUGAUCCAGCCAUGCCGCGUGUGCGAUGAAGGCCUUCGGAUUGUAAAGCACUGUUGGCAGGGAAGCGGUACCUACCGAAUAAGCACCGGCUAACUACGUGCCAGCAGCCGCGGUAAUAC
rnacentral:rRNA from 1 species